AUUGAACGCUGGCGGAAUGCUUUACACAUGCAAGUCGAACGGCAGCACGGGAGCUUGCUCCUGGUGGCGAGUGGCGAACGGGUGAGUAAUAUAUCGGAACGUAUCCAAUAAUGGGGGAUAACCAAUCGAAAGGUUGGCUAAUACCGCAUACGCCCUACGGGGGAAAGCAGGGGAUCUUCGGACCUUGCGUUGAUGGAGCGGCCGAUAUCGGAUUAGCUAGUUGGUGGGGUAAAGGCUCACCAAGCCAACGAUCUGCAGCUGGUCUGAGAGGACGACCAGCCACACUGGGACUGAGACACGGCCCAGACUCCUACGGGAGGCAGCAGUGGGGAAUUUUGGACAAUGGGCGCAAGCCUGAUCCAGCAAUGCCGCGUGCAGGAAGAAGGCCUUCGGGUUGUAAACUGCUUUUGUACGGAACGAAACGGCGAGCUCUAAUACAGUUUGCUAAUGACGGUACCGUAAGAAUAAGCACCGGCUAACUACGUGCCAGCAGCCGCAGUAAGAC
rnacentral:rRNA from 1 species